CUAAUUUUUGAAGUUUUUUUCUUAGAAAUUUUACUGAAUCCAAAAUAAAACAAGAAGAUCAUGGGUCCAGAAUUCUCUUUUCUCAACACUAGAUGGCAGUAGAGUUAAAGAAAAAAAUCCCAGCAGUUCUUUGUACAGGGAUUUGGUGAUUUUUCCCAUAAAGCUGCGAUGAGGAUGAACUCAGAGCAAAAUCUAUGAUAUUAUGUGUCCAUUAACAUGAUGAUGACAUGUGAAAAUGUUUAUGGAUGAAUUUUAAAUUAAAAUGUCAAGCUAUAAAAUUUUAUAUGGAGUAAGAUCUCAUCUUGGUUGGAAGAAAAACACAUUCUGGAGGAACUAAAAAUAAAAGGGGGAGUUUUAUACCUGGUAUACU
rnacentral:lncRNA from 10 species